AUUGAACGCUGGCGGCAGGCCUAACACAUGCAAGUCGAGCGGCAGCGGGAAAGUAGCUUGCUACUUUUGCCGGCGAGCGGCGGACGGGUGAGUAAUGCCUGGGAAAUUGCCCAGUCGAGGGGGAUAACAGUUGGAAACGACUGCUAAUACCGCAUACGCCCUACGGGGGAAAGCAGGGGACCUUCGGGCCUUGCGCGGUUGGAUAUGCCCAGGUGGGAUUAGCUAGUUGGUGGGGUAAUGGCUCACCAAGGCGACGAUCCCUAGCUGGUCUGAGAGGAUGAUCAGCCACACUGGAACUGAGACACGGUCCAGACUCCUACGGGAGGCAGCAGUGGGGAAUAUUGCACAAUGGGGGAAACCCUGAUGCAGCCAUGCCGCGUGUGUGAAGAAGGCCUUCGGGUUGUAAAGCACUUUCAGCGAGGAGGAAAGGUUGAUGCCUAAUACGUAUCAACUGUGACGUUACUCGCAGAAGAAGCACCGGCUAACUCCGUGCCAGCCGCCGCCGUAA
rnacentral:rRNA from 1 species